GAUGAACGCUGGCGGCGUGCCUAAUACAUGCAAGUCGAGUGAACGGACGAGAAGCUUGCUUCUCUGAUGUUAGCGGCGGACGGGUGAGUAACACGUGUAUAACCUACCUAUAAGACUGGGAUAACUUCGGGAAACCGGAUCUAAUACCGGAUAAUAUUUUGAACCGCAUGGUUCAAAAGUGAAAGACGGUCUUGCUGUCACUUAUAGAUGGAUCCGCGCUGCAUGAGUUAGUUGGUAAGGUAACGGCUUACCAAGGCAACUAUGCAUAGCCGACCUGAGAGAGUGGUAGGCCACACUGGAGCUGAGACACGGACCAGACUCCUGCGGGAGGCCGCAGUAGAGAAUCUUACGCAAUGGGGGAGAGCAUGACAGAGCAACGCGGCGUGAGUGAUGAAGGUCUUCGGAUCGUAAAGCUCUGUUAGUAGGGGAGAACAUAUGUGUAAGUAACUGUGCACAUCUUGACGGUACCUAGUCAGAAAGCCACGGCUAACUACGUG
rnacentral:rRNA from 1 species